rnacentral:rRNA from 1 species
UACGUAGGGUGCAAGCGUUAAUCGGAAUUACUGGGCGUAAAGCGUGCGCAGGCGGUUGUGCAAGACAGAUGUGAAAUCCCCGGGCUUAACCUGGGAAUUGCAUUUGUGACUGCACAGCUAGAGUGUGUCAGAGGGGGGUAGAAUUCCACGUGUAGCAGUGAAAUGCGUAGAGAUGUGGAGGAAUACCGAUGGCGAAGGCAGCCCCCUGGGAUAACACUGACGCUCAUGCACGAAAGCGUGGGGAGCAAACAGG